AUGGGUUUGAGUAGGUUCCAGGAGUUGGUGAUGGACAGGGAAGCCUGGCAUGCUGCAGUCCAUGGGGUUACAAAGAGUUGGAUAUGACUGAGCGACUGAACUAUAACUAACUAUAAAUUCUUGACUCAGAUGACUUAGUGAAUUACUGUUGGAGCUGUUAUUUUCAUACCAGGAAAUUUCCAGGAUAAUUAUGGAAACAUGAAAAAACAGCUUCCACUGCUAAGUAAAACCCAACUUCCGUUUUUCAGAAUUACAAGUUUUAUUGUAAAAAAUUUUAACCCAAUGAACAUAUUUGCUUUAGAUCUAUGAGUUAAGAUAGUUUCCAAACCUGAAGGCACAAGGGAGGAUAAAAGUAAAUGGAAAGGGACAUUAAGGAGUCAGUGGUCAUAGGAAAGAUAGCACACCGAACAGUGUCGUCAGUAAAUUACUAUAACCCCAGGACACUCACACCCUUGAAAAAAGCGCAUGGCAAAUAAUGCUUUUAUGGGUAUACUUAAUAAUUUUCUCCCAUGAUAAAAAUUAAAACCAAAGUGUUUCAUGGAGUCAUUCUGAGAUAAUCUUUGAAAUAUUAUCAAAAAGGAUCUGGUCUGUUUUAUACUUCAGGGGGGAAAAUGUUCACAUUUUAGAAUAGCAUUCUGUGAUUAUUUUUAAUGGGAAAAUAAAAUAUAGGUGACUUCUCCAGGGAUCAAUAUCCUCUUUUCUCCAUUCUUGGUGUUUUGCAGGCUGAUUAAUUUGCAGAGGUUGAGUUUGAUUGCCGCUGAAGUAGAAAGCAUUAUAGAUUCUCUGUUAUUCUUCAAGCCACUUGGCUAAAGUCUACGGUUCUGUCUCUAUGUAUUUAUCUACCUUUCCACAUGGCGCUUAGCACUGGAGCUUUGGGCCUCUCCUAAACAUAUUGUGAAAAGCUAUUGUCCUGAAUUCUCAAGUCUUGCUGUGAAUAGGUAACUACCCCCCCACCCCCACCCAAGAUAGCUGUUCUGUGAGGUAAAGGUAAAUGAGCCAGACAGAAA